AGUGAACGCUGGCGGUAGGCCUAACACAUGCAAGUCGAACGGCAGCACAGUAAGAGCUUGCUCUUACGGGUGGCGAGUGGCGGACGAGUGAGGGAUACAUCGGAAUCUACUUUUUCGGGGGGGAUAACGUAGGGAAACUUACGCUAAUACCGCAUACGACCUACGGGGGAAAGCAGGGGAUCUUCGGACCUUGCGCGAUUGAAUGAGCCGAUGUCGGGUUAGCUAGUUGGCGGGGUAAAGGCCCACCAAGGCGACGAUCCGUAGCUGGUCUGAGAGGAUGAUCAGCCACACUGGAACUGAGACACGGUCCAGACUCCUACGGGAGGCAGCAGUGGGGAAUAUUGGACAAUGGGCGCAAGCCUGAUCCAGCCAUACCGCGUGUGUGAAGAAGGCCUUCGGGUUGUAAAGCCCUUUUGUUGGGAAAGAAAAGCAGCAGGUUAAUACCCCGCUGUUCUGACGGUACCCAAAGAAUAAGCACCGGCUAACUUCGUG
rnacentral:rRNA from 1 species